rnacentral:rRNA from 1 species
UACGUAGGGGGCAAGCGUUGUCCGGAUUCAUUGGGCGUAAAGAGCGUGUAGGCGGCCAGGUAGGUCGGUUGUGAAAACUGGAGGCUCAACCUUCAGAGGUCGACCGAAACCAUCUGGCUAGAGUCCGGGAGAGGAGAGUGGAAUUCCUGGUGUAGCGGUGAAAUGCGCAGAUAUCAGGAGGAACACCGGUGGCGAAGGCGGCAUCCUGGACCGACACUGACGCUGAGAGCGAAAGCCAGGGGAGCAAACGGG